UACAGAGACUGCAAGCGUUAUUCGGAUUCACUGGGCGUAAAGGGUGCGCAGGCGGCCAAGUGUGUUAGGCGUGAAAGCCCGGGGCUUAACCUCGGAAUUGCACCUAAAACUACUUGGCUAGAGCAUUGGAGAGGGUAGCGGAAUUCACGGUGUAGCAGUGAAAUGCGUAGAUAUCGGGAGGAACACCUGAGGCGAAGGCGGGUUACUGGGCUGAUACUGACGCUGAUGCGCGAAAGCCAGGGGAGCAAACGGG
rnacentral:rRNA from 1 species